CUCUCUCUCCACUCCCCGAUACAUGCAGUGUACAGCGGUGCCAGUGGAGUGACAAGACUUCUGAGGUCUGGGUCUGAUCGCUAUAUCUGUGAACUGAUCUACCAGAUGACUGCUUUAUGCUGGCAUUACCGCUGUGACCCGUGAUGGACAAGUGUUUGCCUACAGGUUAGGUUCCUACAAUAUAGGAUCCGCUCAGUGGAUAUCUUCUAUAUAAGAUCCUUCUCC